rnacentral:lncRNA from 1 species
GAUUGGCCAGCACAGCCUCACAGGGGCUUUAGUCCAAGGAGAGUGUUUAGGUCUAAGAAAGAGAAGAUUCAAGAAUUGGGUCAACAAAAAAGCAGAACUAGAAUUUGCAUGCAAAGCCAAGAAACCAGGGAAAUGGAAACCAGGAGCAGUGCAUUGAAUAAGAGAUAACAACGGACCAGAGAAGCAAGGAAAGAAUCCUCAGAACCGUUGCAGCCAUGCUGCUCCGACAAAGUGAGCCCAUCUUCAAAUGAGUGCACCUGGAGAAUGCAAUGCUGAGAAGUAGCCAAGACGACCCAAAUCCAUGGGCAGAAGACUGACCCACCCUGCUGAGAGUCCCACAGGAUGUAAAUCAAGAUGAUUCAGAAAAGAUCUACAGACAUGGGAUCACAGCUUCUGAGGCCUCCAAAAGAAGUGACCUUUCCCGAGGUGCCCAGACCAGAGCAUCACCUCCAUGAUCCUGUCUGAGAUUUGUCUGUGGCUGAGAAAUACAGGAUUGUCUAUAUGCGGCAGCAUAAUCAGAAGGGGACAAUGCCUCCUGUUCCAGAAUGAGUAAGGUGUGAACAGGAGAAAGGAAGAAAGGAGCAGAGGAGGACAGAGCUGCACUGGCUUCAGAUCAUGGCCAACCAGAAACCACACCAAAGACACGGGAAUGAACAGGCUACAACCAGAGAUUCUUUUUUCCCUGCCGGCCACCCCACAGAUGCAAUGGCACAAGGAUUCAGGAGAGGGACAGGAGACGGAGUGACUGGAUCCAGAAGAGAGAAGCAGCUUCCCAACUGCUCCAGAAGGAAAAUGGCCCCACUAAGAAAACUUGAAAGUCAAAACACAUGUGGAAGUCAUGAGAAGCUGCAGAGCCGCAAGGGCGCCCCACCUCAGAGAUGAGCCAUUCAGGAGUGGGCGUCAGCCACAGGCAGCAACUGGAUGUGACCUGUGAGCUGUCACUUGCC